UUCAAAAUCUUUACGUAUGAUAAUCAGCAAAAAUUGACUUAUUCUCAUAAGCAACUGAUUUAUUGGACAUAUAGAUGAGAACUUAAUAAAUAUUAGAAUUCGCUUAGGAAAGUUAAGUAGGAUAAGACCUAUAACAUAAAUUAAAAAAGAAGUUAUUAAAUUGUGUGUCGGUUGACCUAAAUUUAACUCUAAUUAUCUGAGAGUAUUUUUAUUUCGAUUUUACAAACAUGUUAUCACGAUUUGGUGUACUUUAUAAACCCGUUUAUAUGUUAAAAAUUCAUCCCAAUGUUAAUCAAAAUUUAAUUAGAAAUGGUGUAACCAAUAAACAUGGAGUUGUUUUACAAGAACCUCAUAAAACGUCCUUUGGAAUUUUAAAAAUAUUUAUUACUGUAACGUCGGGAUUACUAAUAGGAGCAGCAAUAAGCAAAAAUAUAGCCAAUUUCCUAGAAGAAAAUGAUCUCUUUGUACCAUCUGAUGAUGACGACGACGAUGACUAAUUUUUGAAACACUAGCUGCUUUUUAGAACUGGACCAGAAAUUUUUUGUUGUAUGAUUUAAAUGUAGAACCAAAUUAUUUUGCAAUACUAAAAGGAUAGAUAAUAUGGUAAAGAAGUAUUUCUUAAAUGAAAGUAACUUUAGCAACAAUGGAUACCAGAACAGAAGCCAAUCAUAUUCCCAUAUAUAUAAACGAUAUCAGUAAAUUCAUUACAAUUUUAA